ACGAACGCUGGCGGCGUGCCUAACACAUGCAAGUCGCACGAGAAAGGGGCUUCGGCUCCGAGUAAAGUGGCGCACGGGUGAGUAACACGUGGGUAACCUGCCUCUAAGAUUGGGAUAACUCGUCGAAAGAUGAGCUAAUACCGAAUAAGACCACAGUUCCCGCGGGAACAGGGGUCAAAGGUAGCCUCUGCUUGCAAGCUAUCACUUAGAGAUGGGCCUGCGCACCAUUAGCUAGUUGGUAGGGUAACGGCCUACCAAGGCAAAGAUGGUUAGCUGGUCUGAGAGGAUGAUCAGCCACACUGGAACUGAGACACGGUCCAGACUCCUACGGGAGGCAGCAGUGGGGAAUAUUGCGCAAUGGGCGAAAGCUUGACGCAGCAACGCCGCGUGAGUGAUGAAGGCCUUCGGGUCGUAAAGCUCUGUCGGGAGGAACGAAUGCUCCUGAGGUUAACAGCCUCGGGAGGUGACGGUACCUUCAAAGGAAGCACCGGCUAACUCUGUG
rnacentral:rRNA from 1 species